rnacentral:rRNA from 1 species
GACAGAGGUGCCAAGCGUUAGGCGGAAUCACUGGGCGUAAAGGGCGCGUAGGCGGCUUUAUAAGUCGGGGGUGAAAGCCUGUGGCUCAACCACAGAAUUGCCUUCGAUACUGUAGAGCUUGAGACCGGAAGAGGUAAGUGGAACUGCGAGUGUAGAGGUGAAAUUCGUAGAUAUUCGCAAGAACACCAGUGGCGAAGGCGGCUUACUGGUCCGGUUCUGACGCUGAGGCGCGAAAGCGUGGGGAGCAAACAGG